rnacentral:rRNA from 1 species
UACGAAGGGGGCUAGCGUUGCUCGGAAUCACUGGGCGUAAAGCGCACGUAGGCGGAUCUUUAAGUCAGGGGUGAAAUCCCGGAGCUCAACUCCGGAACUGCCUUUGAUACUGAGGGUCUUGAGUCCGGGAGAGGUGAGUGGAACUGCGAGUGUAGAGGUGAAAUUCGUAGAUAUUCGCAAGAACACCAGUGGCGAAGGCGGCUCACUGGUCCGGUACUGACGCUGAGGUGCGAAAGCGUGGGGAGCAAACAGG